rnacentral:rRNA from 1 species
AGAGCGAACGCUGGCGGCAGGCUUAACACAUGCAAGUCGAGCGGGCGUAGCAAUACGUCAGCGGCAGACGGGUGAGUAACGCGUGGGAACGUACCUUUUGGUUCGGAACAACACAGGGAAACUUGUGCUAAUACCGGAUAAGCCCUUACGGGGAAAGAUUUAUCGCCAAAAGAUCGGCCCGCGUCUGAUUAGCUAGUUGGUGAGGUAACGGCUCACCAAGGCGACGAUCAGUAGCUGGUCUGAGAGGAUGAUCAGCCACAUUGGGACUGAGACACGGCCCAAACUCCUACGGGAGGCAGCAGUGGGGAAUAUUGGACAAUGGGCGCAAGCCUGAUCCAGCCAUGCCGCGUGAGUGAUGAAGGCCCUAGGGUUGUAAAGCUCUUUUGUGCGGGAAGAUAAUGACGGUACCGCAAGAAUAAGCCCCGGCUAACUUCGUGUCAGCAGCCGC